rnacentral:rRNA from 1 species
CGCCAGACUCCUACGGGAGGCAGCAGUGGGGAAUAUUGGGCAAUGGGCGCAAGCCUGACCCAGCAACGCCGCGUGAAGGAAGAAGGCUUUCGGGUUGUAAACUUCUUUUCUCAGGGACGAAUAGAUGACGGUACCUGAGGAAUAAGCCACGGCUAACUACGUGCCAGCAGCCGCGGUAAUACGUAGGUGGCAAGCGUUAUCCGGAUUUACUGGGCGUAAAGGGCGCGUAGGUGGGCGCUUAAGUCAGGUGUGAAAACUCCGGGCUCAACCUGGAGACUGCACUUGAAACUGGGCGUCUUGAGGGCAGGAGAGGAAAGUGGAAUUCCUAGUGUAGCGGUGAAAUGCGUAGAUAUUAGGAGGAACACCAGUGGCGAAGGCGACUUUCUGGACUGUACCUGACGCUGAGGCGCGAAAGCGUGGGGAGCGAACGGGAUUAGAUACCCUUGUAGAG